AGAGUUUGAUCAUGGCUCAGGAUGAACGCUGGCGGCGUGCCUAAUACAUGCAAGUCGAACGAGGUGCCUUUGUAGCAAUACGAGGGUAUCCUAGUGGCGAACGGGUGAGUAACGCGUUGGUGACCUACCCCAAAGUGUGGGAUACCAGUCCGAAAGGACUGCUAAUACCGCAUGUGGUCAUCGGGUUUAGAAACCGGUGUCGAAAGCAGCAAUGCGCUUUGGGAGGGACCUGCGUCCCAUCAGCUAGUUGGUAGGGUAACGGCCUACCAAGGCGACGACGGGUAGGGGACCUGAGAGGGUGACCCCCCACAAUGGAACUGAAAUACGGUCCAUACACCUACGGGUGGCAGCAGUAGGGAAUAUUGCACAAUGGACGAAAGUCUGAUGCAGCAACGCCGCGUGCACGAUGAAGGUCUUCGGAUCGUAAAGUGCUUUUCUGGGAGAUGAGAAAGGACAGUAUCCCAGGAAUAAGUCUCGGCUAACUACGUGCCAGCAGCCGCGGUAAAACGUAGGAGGCAAGCGUUAUCCGGAUUCACUGGGCGUAAAGCGUGUGCAGGCGGUUCGGUAAGUUGGGCGUGAAAUCUCCCGGCUUAACUGGGAGAGGUCGUUCAAUACUACCGGACUAGAGAGCAGUAGAGGAAGAUGGAAUUCCCGGUGUAGUGGUGAAAUGCGUAGAUAUCGGGAGGAACACCAGUGGCGAAGGCGAUCUUCUGGACUGUGUCUGACGCUCAUACACGAAAGCUAGGGUAGUAAACGGGAUUAGAGACCCCGGUAAUCCUAGCUGUAAACGAUGUCAACUUGGCGUCGGUGGCUUAAACACUAUCGGUGCCGAAGCAAACGCGAUAAGUUGACCGCCUGGGGACUACGAUCGCAAGAUUAAAACUUAAAGGAAUUGACGG
rnacentral:rRNA from 1 species